CCGAAUUUAGCUCAGUUGGAAGAGCAUCGGACUGUAAAGUAUUUGUAGUUAUCCGGUGGUCCCCGGUUCGAACCCGGGAAUUCGGA
rfam:Ichthyophthirius multifiliis unplaced genomic scaffold scaff_1120509251246, whole genome shotgun sequence.